GUGGGGUAACGGCCUACCAAGGCGACGACGGGUAGCUGGUCUGAGAGGACGACCAGCCACACUGGGACUGAGACACGGCCCAGACUCCUACGGGAGGCAGCAGUGGGGAAUCUUGCGCAAUGGGCGAAAGCCUGACGCAGCGACACCGCGUGGGGGAUGAAGGCCUUUCAGGUCGUAAACCCCUUUCGGCAGGGACGAAGCGAUCUCGUGACGGUACCUGCAGAAGAAGCCUCGGCUAACUACGUGCCAGCAGCCGCGGUAACACGUAGGAGGCGAGCGUUGUCCGGAAUCAUUGGACGUAAAGAGCGCGCAGGCGGCUUGGCAAGUCGGGUGUGAAAUCCCGGGGCUCAACCCCGUGACUGCAUCCGAUACUGUCAGGCUAGAGGUAGGUAGGGGAGAUCGGAAUUCCUGGUGUAGCGGUGAAAUGCGCAGAUAUCAGGAGGAACACCGGUGGCGAAGGCGGAUCUCUGGGCCUUACCUGACGCUCAGGCGCGAAAGCUAGGGGAGCGAACAGGAUUAGAUACCCUGGUAGUCCUAGCCGUAAACGUUGGGUGCUAGGUGUGGGCGGAUAUCAACCCCGUCCGUGCCGAAGCUAACGCAUUAAGCA
rnacentral:rRNA from 1 species